rnacentral:rRNA from 1 species
UACGGAGGGUGCAAGCGUUAAUCGGAAUUACUGGGCGUAAAGGGUGCGUAGGUGGUCUGAUAAGUUAUCUGUGAAAUCCCUGGGCUCAACCUGGGCAGGUCAGAUAAUACUGUUGGACUCGAGUUUGGGAGAGGGAUGCGGAAUUCCAGGUGUAGCGGUGAAAUGCGUAGAUAUCUGGAGGAACACCGGUGGCGAAGGCGGCAUCCUGGACCAACACUGACACUGAGGAGCGAAAGCCAGGGGAGCAAACGGG